CAUUUAUAGUUUUAUACUUUACAGAUGGAAAAUAAAAUGGCGCUGGAUACACUUCCGGACCUGGUUCUGGAGAAUAUUCUCAAGUAUUUCUCCUAUGAUGAAAUUGCGAAGUUUCGCUCUAUUAGCACCAAGUUCAACCUUAUAUGCAAGUCAAUGCUGACCAAAGGGUUCAAGGCGGUGGAGAAGUAUCAUCUCAAAUGUUUGAAGGAGAUGAAGGGUAAACUCCCCAGGAGAGAAUCUGAAAGGAGAGAUCAUCCCCUGGCGAGACACUGUGAUAUCCUGACAGCUAUUGAGACGAGGAUCUCCCUGCUAGGAAUGACGUUCAUGAAGUUUAUAGAGUUGGAUCUCUGCUGUUUUAUCCCAGGGAAGGUUAUUGAUGAGAUUUAUUCUGUUCUCAGGAAUAUUCAGAGCAUCAAGAAUCCGAACAGAUCUUGUGAAGUUCUCCAGGAACUGCGAGAUAUCAGCUCUAUGGCGAUGGAGUACUUUGAUGAGAAGAUAGCUCCUGGUUUAAGAUUGUAUCCUGCAUCUCCGAACCGUCUAAACAGCGGAUAUUUCUCUGGAAUAUUCUCUUCCGGGACGGGAUUCUCUCUUAGUAUGAGAUACUCUGAUAGUUUAAGUCCUCCUAGUACACCUCUCUGCAGACUUCCUCUAAACCAGGCAGUUUCUGAACCUGUACCAAGAGCUAGGCCAAGUUUCAUGCGCGCUCUUCAAACCACCGCAAAAACUCCUAACCGAAAACCGUCCGUAAAAGCGAGUCGUCUGGUCCGCGACCUCAAGAAGCAGGCAGACUCCUACAAAACUGCCGUGGAGUCCCAGAACAAGAAGAUGUUGGAAUUGGACCGGAGAAUCGACCAACAGAACGAGCUGAUCAAUGAGCAGAACGCCAGGUUGGCAGAGCAGGAGGAGAAGUUGGCACAGAUGAGCCGAAGACUGUCGGAGAACACGUCUCAGUUCACAGAGAUGGAUGAGGGAAAGAGCAAGAUGAUGACCAAGAUUGAUCUAGGGAUGAGAAUGCAUCCUUGCUCUAGUAGCAGCUCACAGCCUGCACUGAGUUGUGAAACCUUACCCCGAGGGGAAAAUACUAAGUCUAGGUUCGGAGAAGAUGAGAAUAUAACUCGUCCAAGGAAACGGGGAAGAUCUGAUGAUAUAAAGAAGGAGGAUACAGCGACGGCCUCAGGAACUCCUAAACGCGUCAGAAAAUAAACCUCCACUAUCAAAUUUAACCAAGCUGAUCUAACUUCAUUCAAGAUUCAUUUUAUAAAACCACCCUAUGUUCUACUGAAGUUAAAACCUUUCUUAAUUCCAAAUAAUUGACCCGUAUUGUCAUGCACAAUGUUUAUUUUUUACCCUGUUCUGAUCCGGAACCAUAAAUACAAAUUUUCAGAUUGAAAUUGUAGAAUAAUCGCUUGAUGUCUUAUUUGUUUUCACCAAUUUUUAUUACCUAUCUCAAGCCAAAAUUAGUUCUAAUUUAUUAUUUAUAUUUGAAUAAUAAUGGCGCCAAACAACAAUAAAAAUUGUCUAAAAUCAUCCUGUUGUUUAGAUACUAGGGAAGGAAGCAUUUCAAUUGCCUUUAAUAUUAUUGACUUAAAUUUUGCUAAUGUACAUUAUUUAAUUUGUGCAGCACAUUGUUUUGUAUGAAUGAAACAAACCUUUUUCUAGAUUCAAAUCUUUUUUGUCUUAUAUAUAUAUACCGCAGAAUAUUUCAUAUUUCAAUAAAUUAUUUUACUAUUUU